UUAAUAAUUUGUCUAUCCAACCCCCCCCCCCCCUCUCUCUCUCUCUCCUCUCCCCAGACUUUAAAGAAAAUAAAUGGCAUUGCAUGCAUGCCAAGUACUCCUGAGAGAACUGAGCAGCUAUUUUUUUUAAUUAGGCUGAGGAAAUAAUUGACGGAAGAUGUGGAGGCUGAAGAUAGGGGAAGAGACGGUGGGCAACGACGGCUCGUGGCUAAGGAGUGUGAACAAUCAUGUGGGACGCCAAGUCUGGGAGUUUUGUCCCCUACUGGGAACCCCUGAAAAGCUUUCUCAAGUUGAAAUGGCUCGCAAAACCUUCUCCGAUCAUCGCUUUCACAAGAAACAUAGCUCCGAUCUCCUUUUGAGGAUUCAGAAUACAACAUAGCGAAGUCCCUAUGAAUCCCAAAAUUAUGGCACUGAAAUUAAUUAAUGCCGUUGGCGAAGGAGAAGAAUGGCGGCGCAAGUAUAUCGAAAGUUACAGUGAAAGAACGUGAAGAUGAGAGAGAAGAGGAGGAGGAGGAGGAGGCAAUAAUAGUGAGAAGCUUGCGGCGAGCCAUGGACUUCUAUUCCACAAUGCAAACAGAUGAUUGACAUUGGAGCGGAGACUAUGGGGGUCCUUUGUUUCUACUUCCAGGUUUGGUCAUUACUUUAUGCAUUACUGGAGCCUUGAUUCUUGAAUGCUGUCCUCUCAAAUCAGCACCAACAUGAGAUUUUCAGAUAUAUUUACAAUCAUCAGGCAAGAAAU